rnacentral:rRNA from 1 species
UGAACGCUGGCGGCGUGCCUAACACAUGCAAGUCGAACGAGAAACUCCGAGCUUGCUCGGAGGAGUAAAGUGGCGCACGGGUGAGUAACGCGUGGGUAACCUGCCCCUGAAUCUGGGAUAACUUCGCGAAAGCGUUGCUAAUACCGGAUAUUGUCCCUUUUGCUGUGGCAAGAGGGAUGAAAGGUGACCUAUCCAUGGAAGUUGCCGUUUAGGGAGGGGCUCGCGUACCAUUAGCUUGUUGGUGGGGUAAUGGCCCACCAAGGCUACGAUGGUUAGCUGGUCUGAGAGGAUGAUCAGCCACACUGGAACUGAAACACGGUCCAGACUCCUACGGGAGGCAGCAGUGAGGAAUUUUGCGCAAUGGGGGAAACCCUGACGCAGCAACGCCGUGUGAGUGAAGAAGGCUUUCGGGUCGUAAAGCUCUGUCAAGUGGGAAAAAGGACUUUCGGUCAAUAGCCGGAAGGAUUGAUGGUACCACUAGAGGAAGCACCGGCUAACUCC